rnacentral:miRNA from 1 species
AUAUUUCAGAACAGAAUCUAGUUCCUUCGAUAUCAAUGUAAUCUUUCGAUGAUUAUGAUUAUUAGAUUACAUUGAUAUCAAAGGAACUAGAUUCUGUUCUGAAAUAU